AGGGAUAUGGGUUGGCGGUGUUACAUUUAGUGGUAUCAGAGCUUUGCAGGUUUAGUUUAUUCUCAGACUAAAUCGAGCUCGGAUUUGAUUUUAGAGGUACAUGCCAUAUUGAGUUGAAUUGAGUUGGGAUUUGGAUGCUGAUAUAUUUGUUUGUGUUUUAUAGUUGAAAAUAUGGAAUGAUUAUAAUGAUUAUGUUGAUG
rnacentral:lncRNA from 1 species